GAAAACAUAAAAAACAUUUUAAAAAAAAUUAAUUAAAUAGACAAAACAAAGAAAAAGUAUGUUAGGAAAAGAAUGGGGAGGAGGAGGGUGGAGGAGCACCACUGACCUAGCUAGACCAGAAUGGAGUCACAGAAAAUCUUAAGAAGAAUUAGGGACGUCGUCCCAUAGAAACCAAGUUUUUUGAUGAGAACCUCAGAGUAUGGUAGUUCAUUUAUCUAGUGAUUUUGGUUUAUACCGGGUAGAUCUUGCUUGAGCCAAUGGAUUGCUAUCAGUCUCCUAGCUGCAAGCGUUAUGGUAUUUUAUAGUAUUUGGGAGUGUCAG